CUCUUCAGACCUCAAAGGAAAAAUAUCAGGCAAAAGCAGGGAGAAAGGGAGAAAGGAAAGUGAGGAGGGGAAGAGAGAGAGAGAGAGAGGGGAAAGAUGGCUAGUGAAUUCAAAAAGAAAAUGUUCUGGAGGGCAGUGGUGGCCGAGUUCCUUGCCAUGAGCCUUUUUAUUUUCAUCAGCAUCGGCUCAGCUCUGGGUUUUAGCUUCCCAGUGGUGGGCAACAAAACGUCAACAAAGUCUCAGGACAACGUGAAGGUCUCCUUGGCUUUUGGGUUAUCCAUCGCUACCAUGGCACAGAGCGUGGGCCACAUCAGCGGCGCCCACCUGAACCCUGCCGUGACCCUGGGCCUCCUCCUGAGCUGCCAGAUCAGCAUCUUCAAGGCGCUCAUGUACAUCCUUGCCCAGUGCCUGGGGGCAGUGGUGGCCACUGCUAUUCUCUCCGGAGUCACCUCCUCUCUCCCAGACAACCUCCUGGGGCUCAACUCGGUGA